UGGGGAAUAUUGCACAAUGGGCGCAAGCCUGAUGCAGCCAUGCCGCGUGUAUGAAGAAGGCCUUCGGGUUGUAAAGUACUUUCAGCGGGGAGGAAGGCGAUAAGGUUAAUAACCUUGUCGAUUGACGUUACCCGCAGAAGAAGCACCGGCUAACUCCGUGCCAGCAGCCGCGGUAAUACGGAGGGUGCAAGCGUUAAUCGGAAUUACUGGGCGUAAAGCGCACGCAGGCGGUCUGUCAAGUCGGAUGUGAAAUCCCCGGGCUCAACCUGGGAACUGCAUUCGAAACUGGCAGGCUAGAGUCUUGUAGAGGGGGGUAGAAUUCCAGGUGUAGCGGUGAAAUGCGUAGAGAUCUGGAGGAAUACCGGUAGCGAAGGCGGCCCCCUGGACAAAGACUGACGCUCAGGUGCGAAAGCGUGGGGAGCAAACAGG
rnacentral:rRNA from 1 species